rnacentral:rRNA from 1 species
AUGGCGCCGGGCUCCCAAAAGAAGGAGAAGGGCGUGGAGGAGGUCGACCCGACGGCGAGGCUCACCGACGACAUCCUCGUGGACAUCAUCUCGCGCGUGCCGUACAAGUCGACAUGCUGUUGCAAGUGCGUCUCCCCGCGGUGGCGCGACCUCAUAUCCCACCGCGACCACCGAGAGAAGAUGCCGCAGUCCAUCCUCGGCUUCUUCUACCAAGGUUACAACAAAUUCCGCUUCCCCAAGAAGGCUCGUUACUUUACCAAUCUGUCACGGCAACGCUAUCCUCUCGUAGACCCCUCGCUGUCAUUCCUGCCCAACCAUCACAGUCACAGCCUUGACAUCUUGGAUGGCUGCAAUGGCCUCCUUCUCUGCCGCUGCUGGAAGGCCACUGAUCCCAAGACAUUGGAUUAUGUGGUGUGCAAUCCGGACACUGAGGAAUGGUUGGUGGUGCCUGCCACUGAAUCCUCCAGCAAGGUCAGUGUUGCUCGCCUGGGGUUCGACCCGGCCGUUUCUUCCCACUUCCAUGUCUUCGAGUUCAUAGAUGAGGAGGCAUGGGGUAUAGACGAGGACGAGCGAAAUGAUUAUUGCUUUGGACGCAUUGAAACAUUGGCGAUUUAUUCGUCCAAAGAUGGAGCUUGGAAAUAUCAAACAGUUGAGUGUGAUCCAUUUGUGUUACCCAGGAAUUCAGUAAGCGCAUUUUUAAAUGGGAUCUUGCAUUUGGCUGACUUCCAUAAUUUUAUAGUAGCUGUUGACGUGGAAGGAGAUAAUUGGUGGUACAUUGGUAUUCCUAAGCUACCAUACAAUGAUGCUGAUAUCAAUGAUGUAUUUCCAUCACAGGGACAGUUGUAUUUUGCAAAUAGUACUACUGGUUCUGAACUAUCCGUAUGGGUUCUUGAGGACUACGUUACUAGAAAAUGGACUUUGAAGCAUAGUGUCAGCCUCUUGCAGUUGUUUGGAACAGAGUAUUAUUCGUAUGCGGAUGAUUAUCGUGUUAUUUCAAUCCACCCAGAACACAAUCUGAUUUUCAUAGUCGCUGGAGACAAGAAGAUUCUAAUGUCAUAUGAUAUGGAUUCUAUGCAGCUGUGUUUUAUACGUCAGCUUGGAUCUGAUUGUGGAGUUAAAUUGCUUGGUUACGGUGACAAUACUCCUUUUUAUCCACAUGUUCCCUUGUUCUCACUGUCAUUAGCAGAUGGGCACUAA